rnacentral:rRNA from 1 species
AACGAACGCUGGCGGCAUGCCUAACACAUGCAAGUCGAACGAGAUCUUCGGGUCUAGUGGCGCACGGGUGCGUAACGCGUGGGAAUCUGCCCUUUGGUUCGGAAUAACAGUUGGAAACGACUGCUAAUACCGGAUGAUGACGAAAGUCCAAAGAUUUAUCGCCAGAGGAUGAGCCCGCGUAGGAUUAGCUAGUUGGUGUGGUAAAGGCGCACCAAGGCGACGAUCCUUAGCUGGUCUGAGAGGAUGAUCAGCCACACUGGGACUGAGACACGGCCCAGACUCCUACGGGAGGCAGCAGUGGGGAAUAUUGGACAAUGGGCGAAAGCCUGAUCCAGCAAUGCCGCGUGAGUGAUGAAGGCCUUAGGGUUGUAAAGCUCUUUUACCUGGGAUGAUAAUGACAGUACCGGGAGAAUAAGCUCCGGCUAACUCCGUGCCAGCCGCCGCUGUAAGAC